GGGAGUCGGGCCUCGUCCUCGACUCCGGCUGCAGGCAGACCUCGCCCGGACUCUUACGGGAGACGGGCUCUGUCCCUGACUUUAACUGCUGGUAAGUUUCGUCCGGACUCCUACGGGAGCCAAACUUCACCCCUGACUUUAAUUGCAGGAAGACUCCGCCCGGACUCCUAUGGGAGCCGGGCCUCUUCUCCAACUCCGAC
rnacentral:lncRNA from 1 species